AUUAAAGUGGCAUCACAAACAUGCUCCAACACGGCUGAACCUUGAGGACAUUGUGCUAAGCUGGUCACGAAAGGACAAUAUGGUUACCUCUGGAGGAGAUGACAGGAGCAGGACAAGCAGAAACAAAGUUGCAAACGUUUUCAUGGGGCUCAUCCCUUCCCACUAGAAUAGGCCUGAAAACUUUGAUGACCAAGGUCCUCCAUCAUCAAACACCUUCAUCCAGGAGAAAGUCUGUGGAAAACCACACGACUCAGUCAUUGCCACCGUCAAACACCGACAGAAACAUCACAUCCUUUCUCGAGAUGUAUCCAAAGGAAAGAUGAGUUCAGGAUGUCUACAGCCCCAGCUAACCGAUCUCAAUUUCUCUUCAUGGAAAAAAACAAUAAAAAUUAUACCCUG
rnacentral:lncRNA from 1 species